rnacentral:rRNA from 1 species
CCUACGGGGGGCAGCAGUGAGGAAUAUUGGUCAAUGGACGAGAGUCUGAACCAGCUAAGUAGCGUGAAGGAUGACUGCCCUAUGGGUUGUAAACUUCUUUUAUAAAGGAAUAAAACGAGGCACGUGUGCCUUUUUGCAUGUACGUUAUGAAUAAGGAUCGGCUAACUCCGUGCCAGCAGCCGCGGUAAUACGGAGGAUCCGAGCGUUAUCCGGAUUGAUUGGGUUUAAAGGGAGCGUAGAUGGGUUGUUAAGUCAGUUGUGAAAGUUUGCGGCUCAACCGUAAAAUUGCAAUUGAUACUGGCAGUCUUGAGUACAGUUGAGGUAGGCGGAAUUCGUGGUGUAGCGGUGAAAUGCUUAGAUAUCACGAAGAACUCCGAUUGCGAAGGCAGCUUACUAAACUGCAACUGACAUUGAUGCUCGAAAGUGUGGGUAUCAAACAGGAUUAGAUACCCCUGUAGUC